UACGGAGGAUGCGAGCGUUAUCCGGAUUUAUUGGGUUUAAAGGGUGCGCAGGCGGAUUUUUAAGUCAGCGGUCAAAUCGUGGGGCUCAACCCCAUCCAGCCGUUGAAACUGGGGAUCUAGAGUGUGCGAGAGGUAUGCGGAAUGCGUGGUGUAGCGGUGGAAUGUGUAGAUAUCGGGAAGAACACCAAUGGCGAAAGCAGGUCUCUGGGCCGUUACUGACGCUGAGGAGCGAAAGCGUGGGGAGCGAACAGG
rnacentral:rRNA from 1 species